AACGAACGCUGGCGGCAUGCCUAACACAUGCAAGUCGAACGAGACCUUCGGGUCUAGUGGCGCACGGGUGCGUAACGCGUGGGAACCUGCCCUUAGGUUCGGAAUAACUCCCCGAAAGGGGUGCUAAUACCGGAUAAUGUCUUCGGACCAAAGAUUUAUCGCCUUUGGAUGGGCCCGCGUUGGAUUAGCUAGUUGGUAGGGUAAAAGCCUACCAAGGCGACGAUCCAUAGCUGGUCUGAGAGGAUGAUCAGCCACACUGGGACUGAGACACGGCCCAGACUCCUACGGGAGGCAGCAGUGGGGGAUAUUGGACAAUGGGCGAAAGCAUGAUCCAGCAAUGCCGCGUGAGUGAUGAAGGCCUUAGGGUUGUAAAGCUCUUUUACCCGGGAUGAUAAUGACAGUACCGGGAGAAUAAGCUCCGGCUAACUCCGUG
rnacentral:rRNA from 1 species